rnacentral:rRNA from 1 species
AAUACGUUCCCGGGCCUUGUACACACCGCCCGUCACACCACGAAAGUCGGCAACACCCGAAGCCGGUGGCCCAACCUUUGGAGGAGCCGUCGAAGGUGGGGUUGGCGAUUGGGGUG